UUUCAGCAACUACGUCAGCGACUACUUCAGGGAUGGACAUUUUACAUCAAUAGUCCUGGUUACCAAAUGAGAGACAUAUUGGUGUACAGCUGCAAAUCUUUCCGAUAGAAACCAAGCUCCUGGCUGCCAAACCAACCAAGCUCCAUUUGGUUAGUUUCUUUACAUCUAUACACAUUUCUUAAGAUCCAUAAGAAAAUUGAUUGUGUGUGUGAGUUUGAAUUAUUUUCUGAGGAUGGAGAGGAGGGGGAGGGGGACAAGAUAUUCAGUGGACCAUCGUGAAUUCACCAUCAAGAUCAGAAACUAAUGUAGAAAGAGAAAGAGAGAGAUUCAAAGGCUUUUCCCAAGAUGGAAGAAUCAGGGAAUAAGCGAUCCAACAUGAUUCUGUACAGAUUGAACCAAACCCAACAGCUCUAUGUUCUGGCCAAUUGGUCUGAAGUCCAUUAUUUACCGGUGCCAAAAAAUCUUGCAAGUAUUGGAUACAAUAUCUGAACAAGGGGUCACGCCUAAAAGUUUCAUAUUGUGUUGAGUCAUUUGCUUCUUCUCUCUUAUCUUGUGAUAUCCCAAGGUUCUUUAGCAGAGAUGAGAAUCCUCUUCCUUUUUUUCUUCUCUUGAGGAAAACUACCUCAUUAACUUAAAUAAAUGCUCCUAAUUUCUUUUGAUAAAAUCUUCUAGUUGGUGAUGUUUUGGGUUUCCUUGAGAGGAAGUUCUACAAACGAUAAGAUUUAGUCGCUACUUUAGGUUGUUCCUUUCUUCCCCUUAUUUGAUUUUAAUUUUUGUUGUAGUGCUCGAUAAUGUCGUUUUUGGCUGUUAAUAAAGAAUAGAUGUUCAGUAAUUUAGUUUUAUGCAUAUAUAACUGAAGGUGUGGAUGGGGUCUUCGCGUGUGUACAGACCCUAUGUGUUCAGAAACUACAUUAUCAUGGCAUCUUAUCUAGGGUAGUGGCCGAUGUUUUUUAGUUCAAGAAGUUCUGAGCCUAAUGCUAUAAUCUUUUGGGCUAGGGACAAGAGCUUUGUUUAAUCCCUCCUGCAACUGCUGAAAUUUGAACAUAACAUCUUUAUCCUUUGGGAAGAAGGAUUUACCAGUAGAACUAUCAGUUUUGGAUAGUAGUUUCAUUGAGCAGUACAUAACUAGGUGGUCGAGUUAUCAUAUUUCAGUUGGCAACAUAUACCUAAAAGAAUCAAAGAAGUCAAGGUAAUAUCUGAAGCAGUUUAUACUGAAAUAUGCUACAACGUAGAUGCGCUGCUACUGGUUAUUUUGAGUACACUGAUGAUGAGAUUCAACCUUUGGCCCACAGUAUACAGUUUUCAGCACACAAUAAACAUAUAAGCUAAAUGUCUAUGUCACAAUUAACUUCAAGCCAUAUUAUAAUUGCUAGUAUGUCAUGUAAUUUUUCUUUCUAAAUCAUUGUGGUGAUGACAUAAGGAAAAUAUUUCUGAGAUAAUAUAUAGGAAAUAAUGUUAAGAUCCUUUAAAGUCGUACUAAUUAGGCCAAACAAUA